rnacentral:lncRNA from 1 species
UUACAUUCAUCUAAGCCGUGCUCUUGUGCUAUAAACUCAAUCCUCAAAAUACAUCUCAUUUGUUUUUUUCAGCUCCAAACUCUGUUCCAGCAGCAUCUCGGUGAGUGUAGCUCUACUGCUAAUGCUACCUCUGCCACUCCAACAUCAGUACCAUUAACAUCUACCCCCCCGCCCUCUGAGCUCAGCACUCUGUCAGACAUCAACACCACAGCAACCACAUCUGGCAACUUCAGUUCUACUCCUGAUACACAGAACGUCAGCACAGUGACUGAGGUUCAGUUUCAAAACUGGACGUCUGCAAGCAGUUCAGUAAAAGAAAAUGAAACGGCUACCAGCCCCUUUCAACAUGUUGAGGUCAUGUGUGAUGAGAAGACUGAAAUAAGGAAGACUUUGUGCACUGUACUGCUGCAGUUAAGUCAGGUUGCCAGUCCGUGCUGCAUCGCGCGCAUUGUGAACAUAGUUGAAAUCAACUCCACCAUACAGGGCCAGGUGAUUGGAAACCAAGUGCAGAGAGUGGGUAUGUAUUAUUACACGUCACACGUUCAGCAUGUGUCCAACAUUACAUAGUCAGGAUAUAAAAUCUGUUAAAAAUGAGUAUAGUUACUGUUUUUUUGUUUUGACCAAAACUCUAUAAGCCAACAGUGUGCCAUUUUAUGGUCUGCAUUAUUAAGAUUAGUACUUUAUAUCCUCCUGAGACCCGGACUUUAG